CGUAGGGUGCGAGCGUUAAUCGGAAUUACUGGGCGUAAAGCGUGCGCAGGCGGUUUUGUAAGACAGGCGUGAAAUCCCCGGGCUCAACCUGGGAACUGCGCUUGUGACUGCUAAGCUAGAGUACGGCAGAGGGGGGUGGAAUUCCACGUGUAGCAGUGAAAUGCGUAGAGAUGUGGAGGAACACCAAUGGCGAAGGCAGCCCCCUGGGUCGAUACUGACGCUCAUGCACGAAAGCGUGGGUAGCAAACAGGAUUAGAUACCCUGGUAGUCCACGCCCUAAACGAUGUCAACUAGGUGUUGGGAGGGUAAAACCUUUUAGUACCGGAGCUAACGCGUGAAGUUGACCGCUGGGGAGUACGGCCGCAAGGUUA
rnacentral:rRNA from 1 species